GAGCUCGCUUUGGCAGCAUAUACGCCAGCAUUGGAAUGAUACAGAGAUUAACAUGGCCCCCGCACAGGGGUGACAUACAAGCUUAUGAAGUAUUCCAUGUCUAA
rnacentral:snRNA from 1 species